rnacentral:rRNA from 1 species
AUUGAACGCUGGCGGCAGGCCUAACACAUGCAAGUCGAAAGAGUGGCGGACGGGUGAGUAAUGUCUGGGAAACUGCCUGAAGGAGGGGGAUAACUACUGGAAACGGUAGCUAAUACCGCAUACCAUCGGUUCUGCCCAGAUGGGAUUAGCUAGUAGGUGGGGUAAAGGCUCACCUAGGCGACGCUCCCUAGCUGGUCUGAGAGGAUGACCAGCCAGACUGGAACUGAGACACGGUCCAGACUCCUAAGGGAGGCAGCAGUGGGGAAUAUUGCACAAUGGGCGCAAGCCUGAUGCAGCCAUGCCGCGUGUAUGAAGAAGGCCGUCGGGUUGUAAAGUACUUUCAGCGGGGAGGCGUUACCCGCAGAAGAAGCACCGGCUAACUCCGUGCCAGCAGCCGCGGUAAUUC